rnacentral:tRNA from 1 species
GCCCGGGUAGCCCAAAUGGCAGAGGCCGCCGGCUCAGAACCGGUGUGUUGCAGGUUCGACUCCUGUUCCGGGUAC